AGAGUUUGAUCAUGGCUCAGAUUGAACGCUGGCGGCAUGCUUUACACAUGCAAGUCGAGCGGCAGCGCGGGGGCAACCCUGGCGGCGAGCGGCGGACGGGUGAGUAAUGCAUCGGAACGUAUCCCGUAGUGGGGGACAACCCAGCGAAAGCUGGGCUAAUACCGCAUAUGCUCUACGGAGGAAAGUGGGGGACCCGCAAGGGCCUCACGCUAUGGGAGCGGCCGAUGUCCGAUUAGCUAGUUGGUGGGGUAAAGGCCCACCAAGGCGACGAUCGGUAGCUGGUCUGAGAGGAUGAUCAGCCACACUGGGACUGAGACACGGCCCAGACUCCUACGGGAGGCAGCAGUGGGAAUUUGGACAAUGGGGCAACCCUGAUCCAGCCAUGCCGCGUGCGGGAAGAAGGCCUUCGGGUUGUAAACCGCUUUUGGUCGGGAAGAAAAGGCGUCUCCUAAUACGGGGCGUUCUUGACGGUACCGGCAGAAUAAGCACCGGCUAACUACGUG
rnacentral:rRNA from 1 species